AUUGAACGCUGGCGGCAGGCCUAACACAUGCAAGUCGAACGAGUGGCGGACGGGUGAGUAAUGUCUGAGAAACUGCCUGAUGUAGGGGGAUAACUACUGAAAACGGUAGAUAAUACCGCAUACCAUCAGAUGUGCCCAGAUGGGAUUAGCUAGUUGGUGGGGUAACGGCUUCCAAAGGCGACGAUCCCUAGCUGGUCUGAAAGGAUGACCAGCCACACUGGAACUGAGAAACGGUCCAGACUCCUACGGGAGGCAGAAUUGCGGAAUAUUGCACAAUGGGCGCAAGCCUGAUGCAGCCAUGCCGCGUGUAUGAAGAAGGCCUUCGGGUUGUAAAGUACUUCCAGCGGGGAGGCGUUACCCGCAGAAGAAGCACCGGCUAAAUCAGUGCCAGCAGCCGCGGUAAUAC
rnacentral:rRNA from 1 species